GAACCCUGUAGCUGAAUUGGUUCACGCGCUGGCGAUUACGGGCAACGUCCAGAGAUGCAGGUUCGAAUCCUGCCAGGGUUCU
rnacentral:tRNA from 1 species